CAAUAGCGUAUAUUUAAGUUGUUGCAGUUAAAAAGUUCGUAGUUGGAUUUCGGUUAAGAGCGACCGGUCCGCCGUUUGGUGUGCACUGGUUGGUUUUAACUUCCUGUAGAGGACGUGCUCUGGGUUUAACGACCUGGACUCGGAGUCUACGUGGUUACUUUGAAAAAAUUAGAGUGUUCAAAGCGGGCUUACGCUUGAAUAUUUCAGCAUGGAAUAACACUAUAGGACUCCUGUCCUAUUUCGUUGGUCUCGGGACGGGAGUAAUGAUUAAGAGGAACAGUUGGGGGCAUUCGUAUUUCAUUGUCAGAGGUGAAAUUCUUGGAUUUAUGAAAGACGAACUUCUGCGAAAGCAUUUGCCAAGGAUGUUUUCAUUAA
rnacentral:rRNA from 1 species